UCUGUAUGAUACUCAUCCUUCAGUUAGGCCUGGUAUCCUCUAGAGUAGACCAGACCCCCUCUAUCUUGCCCUCUCUGUAGUAUGAACCUCUUGUUUUCACCAGAGUGGGAGGACAGUCACCCAGUGGGGUGAAGCAGAGAAGAGGAUCUAGGAUCUGUUUCCUCAGAAGCUUUCAACAAAUCCUGUUGUCUGUCCCAUUUUCAGAGGUACCUGGUGCCAGUUCCUGAGACUUGAGGAUUCUGGUUGGUUCUCAGCACAGGAGUCAGCCUGCUCUGAUUUGCUAGUGAUGUCCUAACCAAUCUCCCUGAAAAAUUAUCUGUGAAAUUUAUUUCUAUACAUCCAACAAGCACAAUGAACUCUAGGUAGAAUAAAUUCAGUGAGGUCCACAUCAAGAACAUUGUAAUCAAACUGUUGAAUGUCAAAGACAGAGAAUCUUGAAAGCAACAAGAAAGAAUCAACUAUCAUGUACAAGGGAACCUUAGUAAGAUGAACAGUUGGCUAUUUAUCAGGAACUAUGGAAGCCAGAAAACAGUGGGCAUAUUUAAAGUGCUGAAAGAAAAGAACCUAUCAACCAAGAAUUCUGUAUCUGGCAAAAUUGCCCUUCAAAAGUGAGGAAGAAAUUGAGAUAUUCCCAAUAAACAAAAGCUGAGGGGUUCACUACAAGUAGACCUGCCCUGCAAGAAAUGCUACAAGAUGUCCUCAAGUUGAAAUGAAAGGACACUAAAUGGUAACUUGAAGCUGUAUGAAGAAAUAAAGGUCUACAGUAAAGUGCGUCUAGAGUGUUGACAGUUGUUUCCAUGGACUUCAAAUCAACCCAACCCUGUGAGCACAGACUUUCAGCACCAGAGUCAGAUUUCCCAAAAAUGCUAUUCUUGAAGCGUAGAGCCAGACUCACAGAUCCUGUAAAGAAAACAGAUCUUUCAGCAAGUGAAACACCCAAUCUUCCAUUGCAUGGGACUCACAGAGGUUCUGAGGGAGAGAUGUGAAUAGAAGGAGUGAUCAUCACUGUGGACUCUAUUUCUUCCAUCUGUGCGUGCAAGAUUUAUAUCUGUAUGUGUUUGUUUUAAAGUUUUAUUGAGGUAUAAUUGAUACACAAUAAUCUGUACCUAUUUAAUGUAUACAAUUUGAUGAGUUUGGACAUACUUAAAUACCUGUGAAACCAUCACCACAAUCAAGGUAAUAGACAUAGCCAUCACCUC
rnacentral:lncRNA from 1 species